GACGUCACUUCCGACUGGAGCCAAGAUGGCGGCGGCGCGGCCGCGGGCGCCGGAGCCGGCGGAACAGCGGCGGCGGCGACGGCCCUAGUUGCUCUGAGGCGCGGGCGCGGGGUUCAUGUAAUCAAAGAAGUUUCUUUGUUGUGUGUAUCUUUACAGAACACAACAGGAAUUGAAAAUGAAUCAGAACACUACUGAGCCUGCGGUGGCCACUGAGACCCUGGCUGAGGUACCCGAACAUGUGCUGCGAGGUCUUCCGGAGGAAGUGAGGCUUUUCCCAUCUGCUGUUGACAAGACCCGGAUUGGUGUCUGGGCCACUAAACCAAUUUUAAAAGGCAAAAAGUUUGGGCCAUUUGUUGGUGAUAAGAAGAAAAGAUCUCAGGUUAAGAAUAAUGUAUACAUGUGGGAGGUAUAUUACCCAAAUUUGGGAUGGAUGUGCAUUGAUGCCACUGAUCCAGAGAAGGGAAACUGGCUGCGGUAUGUGAAUUGGGCUUGCUCGGGAGAAGAGCAAAAUUUAUUCCCACUGGAAAUCAACAGAGCCAUUUACUAUAAAACUUUAAAGCCAAUCGCGCCGGGCGAGGAGCUCCUGGUCUGGUACAAUGGGGAAGACAACCCUGAGAUAGCAGCUGCGAUUGAGGAAGAGCGAGCCAGCGCCCGGAGUAAGCGGAGCUCCCCCAAGAGCCGGAAAGGGAAGAAAAAAUCCCAGGAAAAUAAAAACAAAGGAAACAAAAUCCAAGACAUACAACUGAAGACAAGUGAGCCAGAUUUCACCUCUGCAAAUAUGAGAGAUUCUAUAGAAGGUCCUAAAGAAGAGGAAGAGAAGCCUUCGGCCUCAGCACUUGAGCAGCCGGCCAUCCUCCAGGAAGUGGCCAGUCAGGAGGUGCCUCCAGGACUAGCAACCCCUGCCCAUGCCUGGGAGCCACAGCCAGAACCAGAUGAGCAAUUAGAAGCAGCAGACUGUGAGGUGAAUGAUUUGGGGGAAGAGGAGGAGGAGGAGGAAGAGGAGGAGGAUGAAGAAGAAGAAGAAGAUGAUGAUGAUGAAUUGGAAGAAGAGGGGGAAGAAGAAGCCAGCAUGCCAAAUGAAAGUUCCAUGAAAGAGCCAGAAAUACGGUGUGAUGAGAAGCCGGAAGAUUUAUUAGAGGAACCAAAAACAAUUUCAGAAGAAAGUCUUGAAGAUUCCUCAGAGGUAACAUCUGCCGUGCAAAUCCCCAGAACUAAAGAAGAGGCCAAUGGUGAUGUAUUUGAAGCGUUUAUGUUUCCGUGUCAGCAUUGUGAGAGGAAGUUUACAACCAAACAAGGGCUUGAGCGUCACAUGCAUAUCCAUAUAUCCACGAUUAAUCAUGCUUUCAAAUGCAAGUACUGUGGGAAAGCCUUUGGCACACAGAUUAACCGGCGGCGGCACGAGCGGCGCCACGAAGCAGGGUUAAAGCGGAAACCCAGCCUAACACUACAGCCAUCAGAGGACCUGGCUGAUGGCAAAGCACCCGGAGAAAACGUUGCUGCAAAAGAUGAAUCAAGUCCUCCCAAUCUUGGGCAAGACUGUCUGAUCAUAAAUUCAGAGAAGCCUUCCCAAGACACAGUAAAUUCUUCUGUUGUAGAAGAGAAUGGGGAAGUUAAAGAACUUCAUCCAUGCAAAUAUUGUAAAAAGGUUUUUGGGACUCAUACUAAUAUGAGACGGCAUCAGCGUAGAGUUCACGAACGCCAUCUGAUUCCCAAAGGUGUGCGGCGAAAAGGAGGCCUUGAAGAGCCCCAGCCUCCAGCAGAACAGGCCCAGGCCACCCAGAAUGUCUAUGUACCAAGCACAGAGCCAGAGGAGGAAGGUGAAGCAGAUGACGUGUACAUCAUGGACAUUUCUAGCAAUAUCUCUGAAAACUUAAAUUACUAUAUUGAUGGUAAAAUUCAAACUAAUAACAGCACUAGUAACUGUGAUGUGAUUGAGAUGGAGUCAACUUCGGCAGAUUUAUAUGGUAUAAAUUGUCUGCUCACUCCAGUUACAGUGGAAAUUACUCAAAGUAUAAAGACCACACAGGUCUCUGUAACAGAAGAUCUUCCUAAAGAACCUUCAGGCAGUACAAAUAAUGAGGCCAAGAAGCGGAGAACCGCGAGUCCGCCUGCACUGCCCAAAAUUAAGGCUGAAACAGAUUCUGACCCCAUGGCCCCCUCCUGCUCCUUAAGUCUUCCUCUUAGCAUAUCAACAACGGAGGCAGUGUCUUUUCAUAAAGAGAAAAGUGUUUAUUUGUCAUCAAAGCUCAAGCAACUUCUUCAAACUCAAGAUAAACUAACUCCUCCUGUGGGGAUUUCAGCAACUGAAAUAGCCAAAUUAGGCCCUGUUUGUGUGUCUGCUCCUGCGUCAAUGUUGCCUGUGACCUCAAGUAGGUUUAAGAGGCGGACCAGCUCUCCUCCCAGUUCCCCACAGCACAGCCCUGCCCUUCGUGACUUUGGAAAGCCAAGCGAUGGGAAAGCAGUGUGGACUGAUGCAGUUCUGACUUCCAAAAAAUCCAAAUUAGAAAGUCAUAGCGACUCACCAGCAUGGAGUUUGUCUGGGAGAGAUGAGAGAGAAACUGUGAGCCCUUCAUGCUUUGAUGAAUAUAAAAUGUCUAAAGAGUGGACAACCAGUUCUGCUUUUAGCAGUGUGUGCAACCAGCAGCCAUUGGAUUUAUCCAGUGGUGUCAAACAGAAGGCUGAGGGUACAGGCAAGACUCUGGUCCAGUGGGAAUCUGUCUUAGAUCUCAGUGUGCAUAAAAAGCCUUGUAGUGACUCUGAAGGCAAGGAAUUCAAAGAAAAUCAUACAGUACAGCCUACUUGUAGUGCUGUAAAGAAAAAGAAACCAACCACUUGCAUGUUACAGAAGGUUCUUCUCAAUGAGUAUAAUGGCAUCGAUUUACCUGUAGAAAACCCUGCAGAUGUGACUAGGAGCCCAAGUCCUUGUAAAUCCCUAGAAGCUCAGCCAGAUCCUGACCUUGGUCCGGACUCUGGUUUCCCUGCCCCUACUGUCGAGUCCCCACCUGAUGUUUGUCCUUCAUCACCUGCCCUGCAGACACCUUCACUUUCUUCUGGUCGGCUGCCUCCUCUCUUGAUUCCCACAGAUCCUUCCUCCCCUCCACCGUGUCCCCCAGUAUUAACUGUUGCCACUCCGCCCCCUCCCCUCCUUCCUACUGUACCUCUUCCAGCCCCCUCUUCCAGCGCAUCUCCACAUCCAUGCCCCUCUCCACUCUCAAAUGCCACUGCACAGUCCCCACUUCCAAUUCUGUCCCCAACAGUGUCCCCCUCUCCCUCUCCCAUUCCUCCCGUGGAACCUCUGACGUCUGCUGCCUCACCUGGGCCUCCAACACUUUCUUCUUCCUCCUCUUCAUCUUCCUCCUCCUCUUCGUUCUCUUCUUCAUCUUCCUCCUCUUCUCCUUCUCCACCUCCUCUCUCCGCGAUAUCAUCUGUUGUUUCCUCUGGUGAUAAUCUGGAGGCUUCUCUCCCCAUGAUGUCUUUCAAACAGGAGGAAUUGGAGAAUGAAGGUCUGAAACCCAGGGAAGAGCCGCAGUCUGCUGCUGAACAGGAUGCUGUUGUUCAGGAAACAUUCAACAAAAACUUUGUUUGCAAUGUCUGUGAAUCACCUUUUCUUUCCAUUAAAGAUCUAACCAAACAUUUAUCUAUUCAUGCUGAAGAAUGGCCCUUCAAAUGUGAAUUUUGUGUGCAGCUUUUUAAGGAUAAAACGGACUUGUCAGAACAUCGCUUUUUGCUUCACGGAGUUGGGAAUAUCUUCGUGUGUUCUGUUUGUAAAAAAGAAUUUGCUUUCUUGUGCAAUUUGCAGCAGCACCAGCGAGAUCUUCACCCAGAUAAGGUGUGCACACAUCAUGAGUUUGAAAGUGGGACUCUGAGGCCCCAAAACUUUACAGAUCCCAGCAAGGCCCAUGUAGAGCAUAUGCAGAGCUUGCCAGAAGAUCCUUUAGAAACUUCUAAAGAGGAAGAGGAGUUAAAUGAUUCCUCAGAAGAGCUUUACACGACUAUAAAAAUAAUGGCUUCCGGAAUAAAGACAAAAGAUCCAGAUGUUCGACUGGGCCUCAAUCAGCAUUACCCAAGCUUUAAACCACCUCCAUUUCAGUACCAUCAUCGAAACCCCAUGGGGAUUGGUGUGACGGCCACAAAUUUCACUACACACAAUAUUCCGCAGACUUUUACUACUGCCAUCCGCUGCACAAAGUGUGGAAAAGGUGUCGACAACAUGCCUGAGCUGCAUAAACAUAUCCUGGCGUGUGCUUCUGCAAGUGACAAGAAGAGGUAUACGCCUAAGAAAAAUCCGGUACCAUUAAAACAAACUGUGCAACCCAAAAAUGGCGUGGUGGUUUUAGAUAACUCUGGGAAAAACGCCUUCCGACGAAUGGGACAGCCCAAAAGGCUAAACUUUAGUGUUGAGCUCAGCAAAAUGUCGUCGAAUAAACUCAAAUUAAAUGCAUUGAAGAAAAAAAAUCAGCUUGUACAGAAAGCAAUCCUUCAGAAAAACAAAUCUGCAAAGCAGAAGGCUGACUUGAAAAAUGCUUGUGAGUCAUCCUCUCACAUCUGCCCUUACUGUAAUCGAGAGUUCACUUACAUUGGAAGCCUGAAUAAACACGCUGCUUUCAGCUGUCCCAAAAAACCCCUUUCUCCUCCCAAAAAAAAAGUUUCUCAUUCAUCUAAGAAAGGUGGACACUCAUCACCUGCAGGUAGUGACAAAAACAACAGCAACCACCGCAGACGGACAGCGGAUGCGGAGAUUAAAAUGCAAAGCAUGCAGACUCCUUUGGGCAAGACCAGAGCCCGCAGCUCAGGCCCCACUCAAGUCCCGCUCCCCUCCUCAUCCUUCAGGUCCAAGCAGAAUGUCAAGUUUGCAGCUUCGGUGAAAUCCAAAAAACCAAGUUCCUCCUCUUUAAGGAACUCCAGCCCGAUAAGAAUGGCCAAAAUAACUCAUGUUGAGGGGAAAAAACCCAAAGCUGUGGCCAAGAAUCAUUCUGCUCAGCUUUCCAGCAAAACAUCGCGGAGCCUGCACGUGAGGGUACAGAAAAGCAAAGCUGUUUUACAAAGCAAAUCAGCCUUGGCGAGUAAGAAAAGAACAGACCGGUUCAAUAUAAAAUCUAGAGAGCGGAGUGGGGGGCCAGUCACCCGAAGCCUUCAGCUCGCAGCUGCUGCUGACUCGAGUGAGAGCAAGAGAGAGGAUGGCAGUGCCAAGCAGGAGCUGAAGGACUUCAGAUAGAUCAACCAAGUCUAAGAGAGGCAACAUCACUUGAAUUAUGUUCCGCAGCUACAAGUGGGGACCCCAAACCCAGCCAUCUGAUUCCAGAGCUAAGUUCAACUCCAACUAAAACCCAACUGCUCUUGGGUUUUAGUCUUGAAUGUACCUAACUGUUGUGUCCCCGACAUGACAUGCUGAUGGCCAGAGAGCAGUUUUGCUGUGGAGAUGGUGUGUGUAGGACCACAAGAAAAACAUGGGCAUUGAGUGCCUAUCCAUCUGGAUGUUCAUUACCUGGGUACUGUCAGUUACUGAGAGGCAUGGCACGCUGCUGGCUGAGUUGCAGCUUCCUGGCCUGCAGCGAAGCUCUGUGCCGCCUACCUGCCAUGUGCUGUGCACAUUACAGGAGGUACCAUGUGUUCCCAGUGAGGAUCCAGUGGCCGAUGGCUGUGGUGGCCUGGUGGUUACCAUGGACAUCAGGUGCUCAAGUCCUCACAGAAACAGACCUAGGGAGGCACCGCUGAGGAAACUGCCAGGUCUUAGUAGCCUGCCCCGGGUGGAAAGGGGCAGCAUGUGGUGAACUUGGAUGAUGAUCACGAAAGAACUUGUGGGAGAGACUGUUGCAGAAACGACUCACUUCUCAAAAGCCCUGAAAGAGAAAGUCCUUCGUGGAAACCGAGAAACAUUUCUAUUCAUUUCAUGAGUGGGUGGUUCUAUCCUUCAGUGAGGCUAGAGCUUUUGUGAGAAUUUUUAGAACACCCGUGAAGGCUCCAAGAAUGAUCUAUUUUCUGCCUAGGCAAGUGUGGAGCGGUUGAGCCACAGCUCGUAGAGAGUAUAGAGCAGGGAUGCCCAAUCUUUUGGCUUCUUUGACCCAUGAUGGAAAAAUUAUCUUAGGCCACACAUAAAAUACAGUAACACUAACGAUAGCUGAUGAGCUAAAGAAAAAAAAAACGCAAAAAAACUUCAAUGUUUUCAGAAAAUUUACGAAUUUGUGUUGGGCUGCAUGUUGGACAAGCUUGGUGCCUGGGCUCUGGGCAUUCAUUCUCCUGGGAUCCUGGAGCCUUUCUCGGUCUCAGACCAGGGCCCCUCGUAGUAGCAAAGGAAGUCAAGACAGAGCUUCAGUUCAGCCUGGCCUGCCGUGAUUACAUAAGAAUGGAAAUACAAAGUUCAGAAUUUCCGGAAGGCCACUUGCAUUCCGUAGGAGAUGGCGAGGUGCAGGCCAGCACUGGCCUGGGUUGAGGUUCUACUGUGAUUUCAUGACAGGCAGCAGAAUGUAGGUAAGGGCAUCGGCUCUGGACCUGGAAGUCUGAUCAGCUGGCACCUUCUCCAAGAAGCCUUUCCUGACCAUUGAUCUGCCACACUGCCCGGUCCCUCAUCCCUCUUCUUGUUGUGCUUCACUGUUGGAAGACCCUCAAGCCUUCUGUACUUUCUGUUGUGGACUCAUUAGGUUUGUCUGCUCUAUGAUCUCUCCCUUCUUGGAUGAGAGUUCUACCCAGGCAGGAACUUUUUCUUCACUGCUGCAUUCCCAGCAUCUAUUAAAAGAACGGAGCCUGGCAUGUAGUAGUUGCUCAAUAAAUAUUUGUUGAAUGAAUAAAAGAUUUGAAUUGUGGCUCUGUCAUGUAUAGUUCCGUAAGCUUAACCUAUGCAAGCUACUCAGCCUCUCUGAGCCCCAGUUUUCCUGUCUGUGAAAUGGGGAGAAUCAAUCUGACCACGAAGGAUUGCCACAAAGACUUUAGAGGAGCCUGUAAGGGCCACUGAUGCUGUCCACCCUAGCGAGUGCUGUCCACAUCAGCUGCUGUCAGCAUCACUGUUACGAUUGAAUGAUGUCCUCUCUAAUCUCAGUUUGAAUCUGAUGAGAAGUUGAGCCUGGCAUGCCACGUAUAAGAUUUCAUGACAGCAUGUGUUGCAGUGGCCAGAACAUUCCCUCAUUAUCUCCUGCCUCUGCCCAGAGAGAAAGCUCUCGAGUGGCCUGUAACUCCUGGUUUGGCCACCACUGACACCGGGGGCCUUUGCUGUGUCUUUGCCAGGCCAGAGCUGCUUCCUUUUUAUAGCAGGUGCUCCUACCCAUCAGAACUAAAGAAAAGUGAGCUGUAAGACAGGAAAUCAUUUUUCAAUUCAAAGGGAGAAAAAAGGUGAUUCAUUCUUAUUCUAUCACCUUUCCCUGUAACUUUCUAUUUCCCUUGGUUUUGAUUUUCAAAACCAAAUGUCAGUUUUUAAAAGGUAAGUUCAGAAGAAAGCAUUUCAUUAGCUCUGUAAAACCAUGAAGACCAAAUAACCUCAAUUUGCUGAAACCGUAAUAAUGUAAGGGUGAUCCCCAAUAAUUUGCUCGCUGGCCACGAUGUUAAGGAAGGGCUUUCCAUAUAUUACCUCAUUUAAUCUUCAAAAGAACCCUAUGAAUACUUUUAUGUUCUGCCAUUUUACAAAUGGGGAAACUGAGGCACAGGGAAGUCAAGCGAUUUGCCUGAAGUCACAGAUGGUAGGAGGUGGAGCCAGGAGUCAAGUACAGGCAGUCUAACUCAUCUCUUUUAAUCACAAGUCUGUUCUACCUCUCAUCUGCGGUUCUGGGAGUGAGGAGGUAGAAGGGAGCCCCUGGUCAUGCCUCUGUGGCUUCUUCUAGUGGCAUCUCCUUUAAGCAGCAGUGAACGUGACUUAGCACCUGCCAGAGUGUGGACAAGAAGUACCAGCUGAUUUGAAGGAGCUGAAAAGUGUGGUGGGGGUGAAUGGAUGUCUUUGUCCUUCCUGGGAUGAACCCAUUUUGCAUGUCCAAGGUUUCAGCUAGGCCUCUGUGUGUGUUUACCAGGAAUGGAGCCUUAUCUACCCAGCUUUGUUAAGGAAGGAGCAUAUCUAGAUACUGACCAGCCCAGAGGAUGGAUGAGCUUUACUCCCUCAGGUCAACUUUCCCUCCCUGUAUUUUCACGGAAGUCUCUCCAAGCCACGGUUGAUAAGUAGGUUUACAUCCAGUUGCCCAGGGUGCUGCAUGGAACUGGCUUUUCAUGCUCACGGGAAGAGGGCUGGCUAAGUGACCCGGGCUGCCUUGUGUGCAGGAAGGUGGGUGGUUCUGCAGUGCCAGGUAUUUGCUGCCUGUGGUCUCAUUGUGUCUGCUGCUUUUCCGCUUUUUAAAACUACACUGGACUCCAUUUCACCCUUUUUUGAAGGUUCAAGGUCAAGGUAACCAUCAAUGAAUACUUUGUUGUAGAAAAGAUGAUUCUGGCCUAUAGGAGAUCCUGACCCCACACUAGAGAAUCCAGAAGCUUGAGAUGUGACUUUUGAGAAGAGUGUAACUCCUCAGAUCUCCUCUUCCAUCUGUCAUUCAUGGAUAUUGUCUGCACCUCCUGUCAUCCUUCAGAUACGCUUCUGUGAAUUGUCUGUGGGCUGGGAAGCUAGAUUGUGGUCCUGUUAAUAUCAUAUAUAAACAAAGAAAUGGUAGGCCUUGAGAGAUCUCUCAAGGACCUUCCUUAUAAACAAAGUGCAUUAAUUCCAGAACAUGGAUUUUGGGACAUGGUUUGAUCACUCAUUAACAGUAAGUCUUGACCAGAUGUGGUGACUCACACCUGUAAUCCCAGCGUUUCGUUCGGGAGGGUGAGGUGGGAGGAUCAUUUGGAACUCAUGAGUUCAAGACCAGCCUGGGCAACAUAGUGAGACAUCCCCCCACCCAUCUCUACAAAAAAAAACUAGCCAGGCGCAGUGGCACACACUUGUAGUCCUAGCUACUCAGGAGGCUGAGAUGGGAGGAUUGUUUAAGCCCAGGAAGCCAAGGCUGCAGUAAGCUGUGAUCGCACCACUGUGUUCCCGCCGGGGCAACAGAGUGAGACCCUGUCUCCAAGAAAGCCAAAAACCAAAACACAAUAGAUUUUGGCUCUUGGUUCUGUGCUGGUAAGUGAUGUUGGUGGGACAAGUGAUCUAGACAGGAGAGUAUUAAGUACAACAUAUAUAUAAUGAACUGCUUUUUUUCUUUUAAGCUCCCAAAACACAUGAAUUACAUAAAUGAUUUGUGGAGGUAAUGAAACAAAAGUUUGGGUAAAAGUGCAAUCAGUUCCUUUCUCACCACAUAUUUGUUGCCAGGUGAAGUAGUUUAGUUCUGAAACAAAAUGUUUCCUUCUCUUUACCAUCCUAUGUCCUUUAAUUUAUGUUUAGAAUAAGUAAUUGAUGCCAAGUGGUUUGACUCUGGAUAGUUUUAGAGAGCUGGCCCUUACAAACUCAUGGAAGUACCCGUAGUUCACUACCUUUAGCAGAGAUUGAUGAACCUACCCAUGAAAUGGAUUUCUCUUCUGAUUCAGGAUGUCACUCAGGAAUUGUCUUGGAAUUUCUCUGUCGCCAAUAUAUAUGUUUACAGGUGUGAGUUUUAUACUCUUACUGUCUUCAUUCUUAUGCUAGGCUCCUGUGAUUGAAUUUUAUGAGCAAGUUUAGUGAAAAAAAUCUGCGUUAACUUUGCCUUCACGUAGGAGCCCACCAUUGGACAGACCUCAAUGAAUUGGUGUCAGAUAUCGUGGUUGAAAUAUACGCCGUGCCAAAUUAUUUCAACAUAUAAUUAACGAUAGGUUUAUAUCCUUUGAAAGUAUUUUUAACAAUUACAGACACAGCCCAUGCGUGCCCGCUAACAGCAGGUGUUUUAGGAAGGUGGUGGUCUGAGUUGUGUAUGGCACAUGGCGAGGUAAGGGCAUUUUGUGGUUCAGUUUGCGUUGUUAAUUACAGCUUGAAGUGCCAUUUCCUGCCUAUUCCUGAGUGUGUGCGUUUCCUGCCUGUGUUCCUGGGUGUGUGAUGGGGUCCCAGUUUGGAUUAUCUCCCCAGGAUGUUUGCUCAGUGGACCACCUACAUUAAAAAAUAACCUGGGUGAUUAAAAGUUUCAGACCUACUCAACCAUAAUCCCUGGUGGUGGGACUUUGAAAUCUUCAUUUUUAUCAGCUUGUCAAAUGAGUCUUAUCCAGACUUCAGAGGGCUUUUAGAGUAUUUUUUUUUUAAAUGACAUGGUAUCACUCAUCACGUAAUUUCUUCUGAUUUUAAUUUUAAAUUCUUUUCCUUUGCUUGUUUACCAUCUCUUUGAUAUACUUACAUCAGGUUUCAACUCUCAGAACACUUUCAAUUAUGUUUUUCUUUAAUUCUUUUUUUUUUUUUUUGAGACGGAGUUUUGCUCUUGUUACCCAGACUGGAGUGCAAUGGCACGAUCUCGGCUCACCGCAACCUCUGCCUCCUGGGUUCAAGCAAGUCUCCUGCUUCAGCCUCCCGAGUAGCUGGGACUACAAGCACGCACCAACAUGCCCAGCUAAUUUUUGUAUUUUUAGUAGAGACAGGGUUUCACCUUGUUGAUCAGGAUGGUCUCGAUCUCUUGACCUCGUGAUCCACCCGCCUCAGCCUCCCAAAGUGCUGGAAUUAUAGGUGUGAGCCACCGCGCCCGGCCGUUUUUCUUUAAUUCUUUUUUUUUUUUUGAAAAGGAGUUUCGCUGUUGUUACCCAGACUGGAGUGCAAUGGCACGAUCUCGGCUCAUGCCCAGCUAAUUUUUGUAUUUUUAGUAGAGAUGGGGUUUCACCUUGUUGACCAGGAUGGUCUCGAUCUCUUGACCUCGUGAUCUACCCACCUCGGCCUCCCAAAGUGCUGGUCUUUAAUUCUUAUAACAACCUAAUGACAGAUGAUGAGUCGGGGCAGUGCAGGGGCGAGUGUCGUAGGUAAGAGGGAGCUGGAGAUUCACCAGCACAGUGUCCUGCAUGUGUGCAUUCACCUGCACCCAGCUGUAGCCCUGAGCAUGUGGCCAGAACUCAGUAUUUGUGGAAGAAAAAGAAAUCUUGAAGGAUAAUAGAGCCAAAGCUAGCACUCUGCCUCAGUGACCUACUUAUCUGACCUGAACUCAUGACCUCUUGGUUUAAAAUGGGAAUCUUGGGGCAAUUAACUGCUGGUGAUUGAUUAGAGAAUGUCCCAUCCAUAGGUAAAUGAUCCAUUAAAAUCAAGUCAAAAGAAAAGGCUGGUGAUAGCUAAUUAGAAUCAGUGUUACUGCCUCAGGGCAUAGUCCUUAAGGUUAAGAAUGCAUAAGGAGGCUGGGGCAGUGGCUCAGGCCUGUAAUCGCAUCUCCUUGGGAGGCCGGGGUGUGGGGUGGGGUGGAUCUCGAAGUCAGGAGUUCAAGACCAGCCUGGCCAAUAUGGUGAAACCCUGUCUCAAAAAAAAAAAAGUGUAAGGAAAGCCAAUCAAUAAGCCAUGGAGACCAGCAGAAAAUUGUGUGCCAGAAGCCCAGUACAGCACAGUUUGUUCAUUCAAAGGUAUUGGUGGAAUUACGGUCUUCCCCUCCCAGUCUGCACUGGUGCAUACAUCAAAGAUUUGAGUUCUUUGACCAUGACUGAACAUCCUGAACUUCAUGGGGUAGCACUCUUCAAAUAUGCCUUCAAAUUUCUAGGUUCUUUUUUCCCAAUUUUUGGACCUGAAAAUAGUCACUCUUUCUGUGGUUCCAAGCUUGAAUUCUGUCUCCUGACAUUUGACAUCUCCUCAGAGGUGUCCUUCUCCGGUAAAGCCUCCCAAAAUACACAGCAAUGGAUGACUUUCCUUGCGUGUUUUCUUAUUUUUGCUCAAUAUAACGAAUCUUCUUCUUAGGGUUUAAACACUGAUGGGAUUCUUGGUGCCAUAUGCUUUGAAUGGGCUGCGUUGAACAAAGCUGUUCCAAAAACUGGAUCUGCAACACAGUAUCGCUUGCCUUGGAGAUUCCUCCACCACCCUCAUGAGUCAGAGCUGCUGGGUAAUGUGAUCCAGGCAGGCGGAUCAAAGGGUAACAAACACGAGCACUCGAAGCAAACACAGAGGUCUCCGCCGCUCAAGUCCGGCCUAUUCACCAUUGCCUAAGGAAGAACAGAGAAUUCAGAUUUGUGGGCCCCGCGCGGUGGCUCAAACCUGUAAUCCCAGCACUUUGGGAGGCCGAGGCGGGUGGAUCACGAGGUCAAGAGAUUGAGACCAUCCUGGUCAACAUGGUGAAACCCCGUCUCUACUAAAAAUACAAAAAAUUAGCUGGGCACGGUGAUGUGUGCCUGUAAUCCCAGCUACUCAGGAGGCUGAGGCAGGAGAAUUGCCUGAACCCAGGAGACGGAGGUUGCGGUGAGCCGAGAUCGCGCCAUUGCACUCCAGCCUGGGUAACGAUAACGAAACUCUGCCUCAAAAAAAAAAAGAUUUGCAAGGACAUUUUGUAAAGCACAGGGCCUUGGAGAGUGGGAUGGGCCCAGAAAUCCUUCUGAACUUUUGUUGGAACACCAACUGUGGAAUAAACAUACAGGUGGGACCCAACUGACUUCAGUUUGACCAACCCACCAUACUAAUGCACUCUCUCCAUUGCCUCUGGAAAUCCUGACUGCUGCUCACGGGGAGAGCCUGUGUGCUUCCAUUCCAACAGCUAAGUCAAAGGCGUGCCAAAGCUACAGCCUCCGCUUGGCGUCCCGAUGCCCUCCACCAGCCGCCCCGUACGUCACCAGGCAGUGUAGGAAGGUCAAGGCCCCGGCUGCAGCCCAGUUCCAGGGACCAUUCUUCAAAGAGUAAACACCCUGCCUGCUCCCU